GGGAUUGCCUUAGUAACUGCGAGUGAAGCGGCAAAAGCUCAAAUUUGAAAUCGGUGUCCGUUCCGGGCAUCGAGUUGUAAUUUGGAGGGAUAACUUCGGUACGGACUACAUCGUAAGUUCCUUGGAACAGGACGUCAUAGAGGGUGAGAAUCCCGUGUCUUGGUGUUUGGCCGUGCCAUGUGAAGUGUCUCCGACGAGUCGAGUUGUUUGGGAAUGCAGCUCAAAAUGGGUGGUAAAUUUCAUCUAAAGCUAAAUAUUGGCGAGAGACCGAUAGCGCACAAGUAGAGUGAUCGAAAGAUGAAAAGCACUUUGAAAAGAGAGUUAAAAAGUACGUGAAAUUGUUGAAAGGGAAGCGCUUGCGACCAGACUCGAUCUUUGGUGAUCAGCCGGGCUUCGGUCCGGUGCCCUCACCAUUGAUUGGGCCAGCAUCGGUUCUGACGGCGGGACAAAAGGAGGAGGAAUGUGGCUCCCCUCGGGGAGUGUUAUAGCCUUCUUCACAAUGCCGCCAGUUGGGACCGAGGACCGCGCUUCGGCUAGGAUGCUGGCGUAAUGGUCUUAAGCGACCCGUCUUGAAACACGGACCAAGGAGUCUAACAUCUAUGCGAGUGUUCGGGUGGAAAACCCUUGCGCGUAAUGAAAGUGAACGGAGGUGUGAACCCUUCACGGGGUGCAACAUCGACCGGUCCUGAUGUCUUCGGAAGGAUCUGAGUAAGAGCAUAGCUGUUGGGACCCGAAAGAUGGUGAACUAUGCCUGAAUAGGGUGAAGCCAGAGGAAACUCUGGUGGAGGCUCGCAGCGGUUCUGACGUGCAA
rnacentral:rRNA from 1 species